GGAAACUGGGUCUAAUACCGGAUAGGAGCGUCCACCGCAUGGUGGGUGUUGGAAAGAUUUAUCGGUUUUGGAUGGACUCGCGGCCUAUCAGCUUGUUGGUGAGGUAAUGGCUCACCAAGGCGACGACGGGUAGCCGGCCUGAGAGGGUGACCGGCCACACUGGGACUGAGACACGGCCCAGACUCCUACGGGAGGCAGCAGUGGGGAAUAUUGCACAAUGGGCGCAAGCCUGAUGCAGCGACGCCGCGUGAGGGAUGACGGCCUUCGGGUUGUAAACCUCUUUCAGUAGGGAAGAAGCGAAAGUGACGGUACCUGCAGAAGAAGCACCGGCUAACUACGUGCCAGCAGCCGCGGUAAUACGUAGGGUGCGAGCGUUAUCCGGAAUUAUUGGGCGUAAAGAGCUCGUAGGCGGUUUGUCGCGUCUGUCGUGAAAGUCCGGGGCUUAACCCCGGAUCUGCGGUGGGUACGGGCAGACUAGAGUGCAGUAGGGGAGACUGGAAUUCCUGGUGUAGCGGUGGAAUGCGCAGAUAUCAGGAGGAACACCGAUGGCGAAGGCAGGUCUCUGGGCUGUAACUGACGCUGAGGAGCGAAAGCAUGGGGAGCGAACAGGAUUAGAUACCCUGGUAGUCCAUGCCGUAAACGUUGGGCACUAGGUGUGGGAACCAUUCCACGGUUUCCGCGCCGCAGCUAACGCAUUAAGUGCCCCGCCUGGGGAGUACGGCCGCAAGGCUAAAACUCAAAGGAAUUGACGGGGGCCCGCACAAGCGGCGGAGCAUGCGGAUUAAUUCGAUGCAACGCGAAGAACCUUACCAAGGCUUGACAUGUUCUCGAUCGCCGUAGAGAUACGGUUUCCCCUUUGGGGCGGGUUCACAGGUGGUGCAUGGUUGUCGUCAGCUCGUGUCGUGAGAUGUUGGGUUAAGUCCCGCAACGAGCGCAACCCUCGUUCCAUGUUGCCAGCACGUCGUGGUGGGGACUCAUGGGAGACUGCCGGGGUCAACUCGGAGGAAGGUGAGGACGACGUCAAAUCAUCAUGCCCCUUAUGUCUUGGGCUUCACGCAUGCUACAAUGGCCGGUACAAUGGGUUGCGAUACUGUGAGGUGGAGCUAAUCCCAAAAAGCCGGUCUCAGUUCGGAUUGGGGUCUGCAACUCGACCCCAUGAAGUCGGAGUCGCUAGUAAUCGCAGAUCAGCAACGCUGCGGUGAAUACGUUCCCGG
rnacentral:rRNA from 1 species